UUUUUCUAUAAAGUAUAACAUACUAUUAUAAAAAUAUUAUCUCCAUUAACGGUUUAAAUUUCAACCUCUAAAGUAAUAUAUGUGCUAUCAACUAAUCUAAAUCUAUGGAACAAAACAAUAAUGAAUUUAGAUCUUCGAGAACAUAUCUUGUUCUUCUAAUCUACAGAGUAAAUGAAAAAAAGAAAAAAGAAAUAGAAAUAAAAAUAAAAAGAGUAUAGUUUAGUAAUUAUUGAUUACCUACUAAGCCAGCGCCAGUAGCAACGGUACGCUGUUCCCAUGUCUGGGUAUCCAUAGUCAGAUCUGAUCUCUCUCUCGCGCGCCCUCUCAGGACAGAAGGAUGAGGCUUACUAACAAUGAAGGGGAAUGUGGAUAGCGGAGGAAGUAAAGGUUCUCUCUUGGAGAUGGAGUGUGGAUAGGUUGAAGAUCUCCCCGUGUUUAUUUUACGAAUGGACUUGGGACCGGGGAAGUUGUUUCAAUCGCUAGUUUUUUACUGCUGGUGCUUGCCUUCUUUUUGUUUGGGUGCUGUGCUUCUUGUUGUGGGUGUGCUGUGGUGCUUUGUCCAGCUGCGUUUUUUGUUCUGCGUGGGUGUUGGUUGCAGUAUUGUUUUCCAGUUUGGUUGGGUGUUGGUUGUUGUUUCUAUUGUUUAGGCUUCUGUUUCCCUGUUAGCUUAGGAGUUUUUUGGUUGUAGGAGGCUUGUUUUCCUUUUGUUGUGGCUCCUGUUUCUUUUGCUGCUUUUUUGUAUCUUGCUCCCUUUCUUGGCAUGUCUUAUGCCAUGUUUUGUGGUUUUUAAUAAAUUUGCUGAUUCAAAAAAAAAAAAACAAUGAAGGGGAAUGCUCUCUCUCUCUCUCGCGCGCUCUCAGGACAGAAGGAUGAAGCUUACUAACAAUGAAGGGGAAUGAAUUUUGGGAAUGAAGGGUUAUGGACUUUAAGUUUUACUCUCUCAGUUUCUCAAUGAAGGGGAAUGAAUUUGAUUUUUAUGAACUUUAAGUUUCUCUCUCUCAGUUUCUCAAUGAAGGGGAAUGAAUGAAGGGGAAUGAAUUUGAUUUUUAUGAACUUUAAGUUUCUCUCUCUCAGUUUCUCUCUGGUUAUGAACUUUAAGUUUUACUAGCUAGUACUAUUCUAUGAUGAACUGAGUAGAUUUUUAUUUUGAUUUUGAUUUUAGUCUCUUCCUCUGAAGAAUCAUUUUUAAUUUUUGUUUUUCCUUGUAUGUGUUAUCUAGUUUAAGCUUCAUAGCUUCCUCUGAAUAGAAAGAAUCAUUUAAUUUGUUUCAUGAUAUUGCUACUUUUUCUUCUACUCACCAAAUGUAAUCUCCAGCUAUUUUUGGUUGUUUGGUUGCUUUCACUUUCAUUUGCCCAGUUUAUGCUUUAAAUUUGUACGUACUAAUGGUACUAUGUCUUUCCUCAUAUGGAUUUCUACUCUUUUUUUAAAUAAAAAAUAAAAAAAUUCAAAACUAUUCGUAAAAAUUUAUGACUUUGAUAUUGACAAGAAUUUUGGAGUUUCAUACUACUACUACUAGUUUAUAGGUUCUGACUUCAAGUACAAAGUCAAAAGUCUCAUAUUGCUUUGACCUUAAUAUACUUUGUAUUUUUCAUCCCGUGAGUGACAUGACAUGGCAUAACUUACACUUGUUAAUUACUCUUGUUGCUCAAAGUCAAGAAUCUUAGUCAACUCUUAUAUACUGUACAGUACAUACUAGUAGUACAUACAUAUAUAGUGCAGUUUUUUAGAAUCUUAUUCUGAUAAUAAUAAUAAUCAUGAGUUGCCUCCUAGAAUCUGUUUAUUUCAACUUUUUAUAUUUUUUUUUUCUGAUUUUUUGUUUAUGAUUUUGAAGGAGGGAUAGUUUUAUCACCCAUGGAGCUUUUUGUGAUGCUUUGGCUGUGGAGAAUGCAAAAUCUCAUAAUCAAGCUGUUGGGAAAGCUAAUUGAGAAUCUGAUUCAAAGGUUUUGACUGAUGAUUUAUUGCCACCGGUGUGGGCGCUGACGCCGGCUCCUAUAACAACUCCUCAGUCAAAUAAGUGGUGUGUCCUCUGCUAUGGAGGUGUUAUUGUUUGUUUCUGUGAUCUUGGUGUGUGGUAUUUUUUGUCUGCUAUUGUUUUUUGUUGUGACUUGUUUUAGUGAGAAACAAGAUCAAGUGACAUGAGAUUCAGGGGAUGCUAAUUAAGUAAUGAAAUUAAUCACUUAAGAGGUGUUUUUUGUGUGAUUGUUGGAUCUAAAAUUAUGCAAUGGUUGACCAAGAAACUACAACUUUGUCCAGGGUUCAAGGAAAGAGUAAUCCAUAUGAUUCCUCCCUUGCUGCACAACUUUGCAUUCCAAUCAUAAAUGACCUACUGGUUGAGAUAAAAAACCAAAGCUACCAUGAACAAUGUUUUUUGAAUAUAGAUGUGCCAAACAAUGUUACUAACCAUAAGGUAUAGUGUAAUUAUUUUUUCAAUAUAUAUUUAAUUUUUGUGAUUUAGAGGGGUAAAUGGUUCUUUUGGCUUAAUAUACAUGAUAGAAACACAAUGAACCUUAAAGUUGGUUCAUUGACAGUUCCAGCAUCAUCAAUUCCUGUUAUCCCUGUUAUUUUCAUUAGUAUCUUGGUUCAAAUUUAUAAAAUUUUCUUUGUUCCAUUUGCAAGAAAAAUCACUCUCCACUUUGGCAAAGGCAUUAAAAAAUGCAUCAUUAUUAGUAGCAUAUUUCUUCACCAGAUUAUCAUCAGUAGUAUAUAACUCCCAUUGAACAACUCUUGGUCUGAAUGGAGAAGAGCCUUUUUCGCCAGUAAACUCUUGAAAUAUCGAUUAUCGACAUGGGUCGGAGUUUGCUCUGUAGUGACUUGGCAAAUAAGGCAUUCAUAUUUUAAUCGUUGUAGAAGUGUGCUUGAAAUUGCACACAUCUAGAUAGACCAACUGUAUGUGCACCGAAUGUUUUAUAUAUAUAUAUAUAUAUAUAUACUCAAUUGAAUUGAAACAUACUAUACUAUAUUGAACAUUAAUUGGAUGCCAAGUAUAAUUUAUGAACAAGGUAGUGGUCAUGAUGAAUAAUGAUAAAGCAUUAGUAUUACUAUAUCAUGGUAUCUGAAAGAGCCACCAAGUCAUUCACUGAGGGUCCACGGUUAGCAAAAUUUGUUUUGAGAGCACUUCAAUUUCAGCCACUGUCUUCAUUUGGUACUUUAAUGAGUGCGUUGACUUUUUCAUGAGAUAUUAUUUCUUCAAUUUUGUAUAUUGUCUGAUUUCAUCAUGAGGUGUUUUGAUUUUGGCAUUAGCUUUUCACUACAGUAAUGCACUAUGAGCUCCAUAUACAGUAGUGUUUUCCCAUAUAAUAUUAGAUGAUGUCUUUGCACUAGCUUAUCUCUUUUUCACGGUCAAUACAAAGUGUAGCAAGAGUUAUAGAUGCUCAUGUAUUUUAUAGAAUGAUCAUGAUUACUUUGGUUGUGAUUGACUGAGAAUUUGUUAUAAUGUUGAUAUUCUUAGAUGUGUUGUUGAAAGCUUACCUUUUGAGAUCAAUGAUCUACCAAAUGUUUGCUCCAUGGUUGACCCUUAUUCUGAUAGUUUGAAGGAUGCAGAUGCAGAUGCAGUGGUACCAAUUGCAAAGCACAAGUCAAUUUUGGUUUUGGUUAUUAUAAUUUGUUCAUACAUUUGGUUUUUCCUUUUUUAUGGCUUUGAAAUGUACAUUGUUGUUUGACCUCUUGAUUAAAUGUAUCUUUAGAGUGCUGAAUCAAUACUAUCAUUGAUGCUAAUGAAGAGGUUUUUAAAUCAUUACAGGUUCAUGUUGAUGUGAUGCAGUGAGCUAGCUACAAGAAAAGUACCUUUCUGGGAAAACAAACUGAACUAGGAAUGUUAAGCCUUCCAAGUUGAAAGCAUGAAAGUUCAAGAAAAGCUUUUUCAGAGGUCUGCAACUUAUGUUAUGUUAUUGUUAUAUUAAGUUGUAUAGGAAGUUGGAAAUAGAACCAUGGCUCAAGAGAAUGAUGGCUGCCAAGUUUCCACAUUGAAUGACUUGCUUUUAUUUUGAAAAUUUGGAUUGAUUUAAUUUCUUAUAGAAAUUUUUGUUGGAGCAAGAAAUGAUGCUUCUGGAGUUUAUGCACUUGCUUUUAUGAGGUGUAUGAUUAAUGUUUGUUCUUGAAAUGUAAUUUAUAGAUAGAUACCAUAAGAACUGGAAUUGGCACUUUGGAAGCAAGAGUAUUAGUUAUUUUUUA